rnacentral:rRNA from 1 species
CCUACGGGAGGCAGCAGUGAGGAAUAUUGGUCAAUGGGCGUGAGCCUGAACCAGCCAAGUAGCGUGCAGGAUGACGGCCCUAUGGGUUGUAAACUGCUUUUAUACGGGGAUAAAAGGGUGAACGUGUUCUCCUUUGCAGGUACCGUAUGAAUAAGGACCGGCUAAUUCCGUGCCAGCAGCCGCGGUAAUACGGAAGGUCCUGGCGUUAUCCGGAUUUAUUGGGUUUAAAGGGAGCGCAGGCUGCACUUUAAGCGUGUUGUGAAAUGUACCGGCUCAACCGGUAACGUGCAGCGCGAACUGGAGUGCUUGAGUACGAAGAGGGAAAGCGGAACUCGUGGUGUAGCGGUGAAAUGCUUAGAUAUCACGAGGAACUCCGAUCGCGAAGGCAGCUUUCCGUUUCGGAACUGACGCUGAGGCUCGAAAGUGCGGGUAUCGAACAGGAUUAGAUACCCCUGUAGUC